AGUGAUUUGUAUGCUGGGGCGAAAGGACAACGGCAGAUUGGAGGCAGAAAAACAGGCGCUCGCCAUUCCCGUUCACUCGGUAGCUUGUGAAAGAUGAACGAGGAGAAGGCAGAGAGGGGGGAUGGGGAGAUGAAAAUGCUGGAUGAGAGAUAAGACAAGUGAAGGGAAAAGAGACCUGCUUGGUAUUCACCUGUCUCUCUGGAUCAAUAAAGGGCUGCAGCAGAUCUCAUCAGUUGGUUAUAGGCAUGGAGGUUCUCGUCCGUCAUGUGGGGUCACCAGCCUGAGAGGAAUGCUCCAUGUCAGGGAUGUCAGGAGAGGAAGGGGUUUCCCAAGGGAUACAAUACUCAACAAAGUGUACCGCACCUCUGGCCAAUCAUUGGCGCUUGUCCUGCUUGUAUUGUGAAUUUCAUCAAAGC